GAUGAACGCUGGCGGCGUGCUUAACACAUGCAAGUCGAACGAAGCAUUUAAGACAGAUUACUUCGGUUUGAAGUCUUUUAUGACUGAGUGGCGGACGGGUGAGUAACGCGUGGGUAACCUGCCUCAUACAGGGGGAUAGCAGCUGGAAACGGCUGGUAAUACCGCAUAAGCGCACAGUACCACAUGGUACAGUGUGAAAAACUCCGGUGGUAUGAGAUGGACCCGCGUCUGAUUAGCUUGUUGGCGGGGUAACGGCCCACCAAGGCGACGAUCAGUAGCCGACCUGGGAGGGUGACCGGCCACAUUGGGACUGAGACACGGCCCAGACUCCUACGGGAGGCAGCAGUGGGGAAUAUUGCACAAUGGAGGAAACUCUGAUGCAGCGACGCCGCGUGAGUGAAGAAGUAGUUCGCUAUGUAAAGCUCUAUCAGCAGGGAAGAUAGUGACGGUACCUGACUAAGAAGCUCCGGCUAAAUACGUG
rnacentral:rRNA from 1 species